GAUGAACGCUGGCGGCGUGCCUAAUACAUGCAAGUCGAGCGAAUGGAUUGAGAGCUUGCUCUUAUGAAGUUAGCGGCGGACGGGUGAGUAACACGUGGGUAACCUGCCCAUAAGACUGGGAUAACUCCGGGAAACCGGGGCUAAUACCGGAUAACAUUUUGAACCGCAUGGUUCGAAAUUGAAAGGCGGCUUCGGCUGUCACUUAUGGACGGACCCGCGUCGCAUUAGCUAGUUGGUGAGGUAACGACUCACCAAGGCAACGAUGCGUAGCCGCCCUGAGAGGGUGAUCGGCCACACUGGGACUGAGACACGGCCCAGACUCCUACGGGAGGCAGCAGUAGGGAAUCUUCCGCAAUGGACGAAAGUCUGACGGAGCAACGCCGCGUGAGUGAUGAAGGCUUUCGGGUCGUAAAACUCUGUUGUUAGGGAAGAACAAGUGCUAGUUGAAUAAGCUGGCACCUUGACGGUACCUAACCAGAAAGCCACGGCUAACUACGUGCCAGCAGCCGCAGUAA
rnacentral:rRNA from 1 species